AGUAACAGGCGAUUAAUUUAAUCUUUACAAACGGCACAAACUCAGGAAACGGAGUGUAAUACGUAAAAGACGAAUUUUUAAAUAAAAAGAAAACGUUUUUGGCUUGAAUAAAGCGGUAAAGAAUAAGACGCCAACCCAUCAGUUAGUAAGUAGGGUAAGGGCCUAUUUAGACGAAUACGGGUACGGGGAAUUAGGGUUUGAUUCCGGAGAGGGAGCCUGAGAGACGGCUACCAGGUCCAAGGACGGCAGCAGGCGCGAAAAUUACCGAAGCUCAAAUAGAGGCGGUAGUAAUGAGACGUAAAAAAAUAAUAUAAGGGUAAAAAACUUAUUAAUAACUGGAGGUCAAGUCUGGUGCCAGCAUCCGCGGUAAUACCAGCUCCAGGGGUGUCUAUGAUGAUUGCUGCGAUUAAAAGGUCCGUAGUCGAAUUUAGAUAAUUGUUUGUAAUAUGUUAGAUAAAAUAAUAAAAAGAACAAUUAGUUAAAUGAAAGGAAUAGCAAGAGGUUGAUUAAUCGAGUAACGAGAGGUGAAAUUUGAUGACUUACUUGGGAGAACAGAGGCGAAAGCGUCAAUCAAGUGUAAAUCCGAUGAUCAAGGACGUAGGCUGGAGUAUCGAACACGAUUAGAUACCGUAGUAGUUCCAGCAGUAAACUAUGCCUACGCCAUUGAAUAAAAGUUUGGUGGACUAUAAU
rnacentral:rRNA from 1 species